GGGGUCGUAGCUCAGCUGGUCAGAGCGCCACGUUGACAUCGUGGAGGUCGAAGGUUCGAGCCCUUUCGACCCCACCA
rnacentral:tRNA from 1 species